GAGUUUGAUCCUGGCUCAGGAUGAACGCUAGCGGCAGGCUUAACACAUGCAAGUCGAGGGGUAACGGGGAAGCUUGCUUCCGCCGACGACCGGCGCACGGGUGCGUAACGCGUAUACAAUCUACCUUGUACUGGGGUAUAGCCUUUAGAAAUGAAGAUUAAUCCCCCAUAGUCUCUUAGAGUGGCAUCACUUCUAGAGUAAAGGUUACGGUAUAAGAUGAGUAUGCGUUCUAUUAGUUUGUUGGUGUGGUAACGGCACACCAAGACUACGAUAGAUAGGGGCCCUGAGAGGGGGAUCCCCCACACUGGUACUGAGACACGGACCAGACUCCUACGGGAGGCAGCAGUGAGGAAUAUUGGACAAUGGAGGCAACUCUGAUCCAGCCAUGCCGCGUGCAGGAAGACUGCCCUAUGGGUUGUAAGCUGCUUUUAUACAGGAAGAAACACCUCUACGUGUAGAGGCUUGACGGUACUGUAAGAAUAAGGAUCGGCUAACUCCGUGCCAGCAGCCGCGGUAAUACGGAGGAUCCAAGCGUUAUCCGGAAUCAUUGGGUUUAAAGGGUCCGUAGGUGGAUAAUUAAGUCAGAGGUGAAAUCUUGCAGCUCAACUGUAAAAUUGCCUUUGAAACUGGUUAUCUUGAGUUAUUAUGAAGUAGUUAGAAUAUGUAGUGUAGCGGUGAAAUGCAUAGAUAUUACAUAGAAUACCAAUUGCGAAGGCAGAUUACUAAUAAUCAACUGACACUGAUGGACGAAAGCGUGGGUAGCGAACAGGAUUAGAUACCCUGGUAGUCCACGCCGUAAACGAUGGUUACUAGCUGUUUGGACUUCGGUCUGAGUGGCUAAGCGAAAGUGAUAAGUAACCCACCUGGGGAGUACGUUCGCAAGAAUGAAACUCAAAGGAAUUGACGGGGGCCCGCACAAGCGGUGGAGCAUGUGGUUUAAUUCGAUGAUACGCGAGGAACCUUACCAGGGCUUAAAUGUAAGUUGCAUUAGUUAGAGAUAGCUAUUUCUUCGGACCACUUACAAGGUGCUGCAUGGUUGUCGUCAGCUCGUGCCGUGAGGUGUCAGGUUAAGUCCUAUAACGAGCGCAACCCCUGUUGUUAGUUGCCAGCGAGUCAUGUCGGGAACUCUAACAAGACUGCCAGUGCAAACUGUGAGGAAGGUGGGGAUGACGUCAAAUCAUCACGGCCCUUACGUCCUGGGCUACACACGUGCUACAAUGGUAGGUACAGAGAGCAGCCACUGCGCGAGCAGGAGCGAAUCUAUAAAACCUAUCACAGUUCGGAUCGGAGUCUGCAACUCGACUCCGUGAAGCUGGAAUCGCUAGUAAUCGGAUAUCAGCCAUGAUCCGGUGAAUACGUUCCCGGGCCUUGUACACACCGCCCGUCAAGCCAUGGAAGUUGGAAGUGCCUGAAGUCCGUCACCGCAAGGAGCGGCCUAGGGUAAAGUCGAUAACUAGGGCUAAGUCGUAACAAGGUAACC
rnacentral:rRNA from 1 species